rnacentral:tRNA from 1 species
AGAGAUGUAGCUCAGUGGUAGAGUGCAUGCUUAGCAUGCACGAGGUCCUGGGUUCAGUCCUCAGUACCUCUG